rnacentral:lncRNA from 1 species
CGAGGGGUUUGAGGGUUACAAUCGGAUCGAGUUAUAACACCUGUAAGUAGUAGGUUCGAGUAGGAGAAGGCCCAUUUGUCUUUAAAAACCAAUCAAUACAUGUAGCAAACUGAUACUUUUUUAUGUUUAAUGUAUAAUUCAUUGUGUUGAUUUGGAAAGUAAUUGUCAUUGGUGUUAGAGAAAAUAUCCCAACCAGUUACUGUAAAAUAUGUUAAAAAGGAACCAUGGUGUAAAGCAAAUACUCGACUAAACCCCUUUUCGUACAAAUGUCGUUAAUGGAUAUGAAAUGAUUAAUUUGCAUAGAUGUUUAGAUGCAUUAUGAAAGUUCAUAAAGGGUUCUAUUGAACCGUGGUUCUCGGCUGUGAUUACCACUUCCCGCGAAAAUGGAAUCAAUUGAUCAGUCCAUUACACAUGUUACAGGAUUCAAAAUAAUAAAGCAUUUUCUUUAGAUAUUUUUUAUGCUUGAUCUAUAAUAUAUUAUCUUCUGUCCAAGUUUCAUGACAAUAUCUGAAGGUUUUCAAAAUUUUCAUGUGAAAAUAAUUAUCUCAGACCGUCUGUUAGUUGCUUAAAGAUCAGUCCGAAUAUCAUUUGAAAAAUGAAAAAAAAAACAACAAUAUACUGUUGCAAAAUGUUGCAUCAGACAUUAAUCACAAAAACCUUCUGCCAAAGUUUCAUAAAGUUCGAUGAAUGUUUGACAACGUUAUGGAAGUGUAACAAACUUUCAUCACAGACUGUAUCUACUUGUUAACUGUGAAAAAGAAAAUUUUAUCAGUAAAAUACGGGAAAAUUAAAAAUAUGAAGUUGCUCUGAAUAUUCCUGAGAAUUAACAGCUUCUGUCCAACUUUCGUAAAAUUUCACGAAGGUUUGACAAAUUAUUGAUAUUCAAAAAAUAUUUAACCAUGUAUUGAACAAAAAGUUGAAGCCGCCGAGGAAAUCUUAGUUCGCGUUGAAGCCGCCCAGGAAAUCUUAUUUCGCUUUUCCUUUUUUUUCUUCAUAAGUGUCGCAGUCUUAGCUAAAAUCCAAAGCACAUAUCAAAUCUUAGCUGAUUAUCAAUUGUUUUAAACAGAAGGAAAGUAAAAAGAAUUUCCUGGACCCAGUAGAUUAAGACUUUGACUGACAUAAAACGAACACAUCUAUAGUACGGUACCAUUUGAUCGAAAGUAAAUUUCGUCAUUUUUAGUCGCAAUUACAAUGUAUUGAAAAAAGAUUAACAAGACUUAUGUGCUUCAAACAAGAUCUCUUUAAUUUAUUGAGAUUUAAAUAAUUUUUUCACCAAAAUUCAAGUGUACGCCCGGG